rnacentral:rRNA from 1 species
GAUGAACGCUGGCGGCGUGCCUAAUACAUGCAAGUCGAGCGAACUUAACUAAAUGAAUGCGGUGCUUGCACCAAGUGAUUUUAGAGCGGUGAGCGGCGGAUGGGUGAGUAACACGUGGGUAACCUGCCUCUAAGCAGGGGAUAACAUUUGGAAACAGAUGCUAAUACCGUAUAAAUCCUAAAACCACAUGGUUUUAGGCUGAAAGGCGGCUUCGGCUGUCACUUAGAGAUGGACCCGCGGCGUAUUAGCUAGUUGGUGAGGUAAUGGCUCACCAAGGCAAUGAUACGUAGCCGAACUGAGAGGUUGAUCGGCCACAUUGGGACUGAGACACGGCCCAAACUCCUACGGGAGGCAGCAGUAGGGAAUCUUCCACAAUGGACGCAAGUCUGAUGGAGCAACGCCGCGUGAGUGAAGAAGGCUUUCGGGUCGUAAAACUCUGUUGUUGAAGAAGAACACGUUUGAGAGUAACUGUUCAGACGUUGACGGUAUUCAACCAGAAAGCCACGGCUAACUACGUGCCAGCAGCCGCGGUAAUACGUAGGUGGCAAGCGUUAUCCGGAUUUAUUGGGCGUAAAGCGAGCGCAGGCGGUUUUUUAAGUCUGAUGUGAAAGCCCUCGGCUUAACCGAGGAAGUGCAUCGGAAACUGGGAAACUUGAAUGCUGAAGAGGACAGUGGAACUCAUUGGUGUAAGCGGUGAAAUGCGUAAAAAUAUAUGGAAGAACACCAGUGGCGAAAGGCGGUGGUCUGGGUCAGUUAUUGACGCUGAGGCUCGAAAGCAUGGGUAGCGAACAGGAUUAGAUUACCCUGGUAGUCCAUGCCGUAACAGAAAUAACAAGGGGGGUGUGGAGGGUUUCCGCCCUUCAGUGCCGCAGCUAACGCAUUAAGUAUUCCGCCUGGGGAGUACGACCGCAAGGUUGAAACUCAAAGGAAUUGACGGGGGCCCGCACAAGCGGUGGAGCAUGUGGUUUAAUUCGAAGCAACGCGAAGAACCUUACCAGGUCUUGACAUCUUCUGCUAUUUCUAGAGAUAGAAAGUUCCCUUCGGGGACGGAAUGACAGGUGGUGCAUGGUUGUCGUCAGCUCGUGUCGUGAGAUGUUGGGUUAAGUCCCGCAACGAGCGCAACCCUUAUGACUAGUUGCCAGCAUUAAGUUGGGCACUCUAGUAAGACUGCCGGUGACAAACCGGAGGAAGGUGGGGACGACGUCAAAUCAUCAUGCCCCUUAUGACCUGGGCUACACACGUGCUACAAUGGUUGGUACAACGAGUUGCGAACUCGCGAGGGUAAGCUAAUCUCUUAAAGCCAAUCUCAGUUCGGACUGUAGGCUGCAACUCGCCUACACGAAGUCGGAAUCGCUAGUAAUCGCGGAUCAGCAUGCCGCGGUGAAUACGUUCCCGGGCCUUGUACACACCGCCCGUCACACCAUGAGAGUUUGUAACACCCAAAGCCGGUGGGGCAACCCUUCGGGGAGCUAGCCGUCUAAGGUGGGACAGAUGAUUAGGGUG